CGUAGGUGGCAAGCGUUAUCCGGAUUUACUGGGUGUAAAGGGCGUGUAGGCGGGAAAGCAAGUCAGAUGUGAAAACCACGGGCUCAACCUGUGGCCUGCAUUUGAAACUGUUUUUCUUGAGUACUGGAGAGGCAGACGGAAUUCCUAGUGUAGCGGUGAAAUGCGUAGAUAUUAGGAGGAACACCAGUGGCGAAGGCGGUCUGCUGGACAGCAACUGACGCUGAGGCGCGAAAGCGUGGGGAGCAAA
rnacentral:rRNA from 1 species